rnacentral:misc_RNA from 1 species
UUACAAAAGCAGACGAAGAUCAGGUGUCUUAUUUAUAUUUCUAUUUCUACAAGACAUGUAUUUUUGUGUUUUAAUUAUUAGUAUGUCGAUGAUGAAGCUGUUAGCCAUGAAGGGGGAUGAGCCUCGGGCUUUGCAGUUUUAUUUUGCAGUUGAGGGCUGAGCGUCGAAAACACCUUUGUUUGGUUCAAUUUCAAAAUUUAAUAUUUUG